rnacentral:rRNA from 1 species
AUGGUUAAGUGGGAAACGAUGUGGGAAGGCCCAGACAGCCAGGAUGUUGGCUUAGAAGCAGCCAUCAUUUAAAGAAAGCGUAAUAGCUCACUGGUCGAGUCGGCCUGCGCGGAAGAUGUAACGGGGCUAAACCAUGCACCGAAGCUGCGGCAGCGAACGUAUCACUUAAAGCGAUUCAGCGGGUUACGAUUGACGGAGCGAAGCGACGUCAAAGCGUAUACAAAGUCGAGUCGGUUUAAGGAUACGUUCGUUGGGUAGGGGAGCGUUCUGUAAGCCUGCGAAGGUGGCCUGUGAGGGUUGCUGGAGGUAUCAGAAGUGCGAAUGCUGACAUAAGUAACGAUAAAGCGGGUGAAAAGCCCGCUCGCCGGAAGACCAAGGGUUCCUGUCCAACGUUAAUCGGGGCAGGGUGAGUCGACCCCUAAGGCGAGGCCGAAAGGCGUAGUCGAUGGGAAACGGGUUAAUAUUCCCGUACUUGGUGUUACUGCGAAGGGGGGACGGAGAAGGCUAUGUUGGCCGGGCGACGGUUGUCCCGGUUUAAGCGUGUAGGUGUGUGUUCCAGGUAAAUCCGGUUCACUUUAACACUGAGGCGUGANGACGAGGCACUACGGUGCUGAAGCAACAAAUGCCCUGCUUCCAGGAAAAGCCUCUAAGCAUCAGGUAACAUCAAAUCGUACCCCAAACCGACACAGGUGGUCAGGUAGAGAAUACCAAGGCGCUUGAGAGAACUCGGGUGAAGGAACUAGGCAAAAUGGUGCCGUAACUUCGGGAGAAGGCACGCUGACACGUAGGUGAAGUGAUUUACUCAUGGAGCUGAAGUCAGUCGAAGAUACCAGCUGGCUGCAACUGUUUAUUAAAAACACAGCACUGUGCAAACACGAAAGUGGACGUAUACGGUGUGACGCCUGCCCGGUGCCGGAAGGUUAAUUGAUGGGGUCAGCGCAAGCGAAGCUCCUGAUCGAAGCCCCGGUAAACGGCGGCCGUAACUAUAACGGUCCUAAGGUAGCGAAAUUCCUUGUCGGGUAAGUUCCGACCUGCACGAAUGGCGUAAUGAUGGCCAGGCUGUCUCCACCCGAGACUCAGUGAAAUUGAACUCGCUGUGAAGAUGCAGUGUACCCGCGGCAAGACGGAAAGACCCCGUGAACCUUUACUAUAGCUUGACACUGAACAUUGAGCCUUGAUGUGUAGGAUAGGUGGGAGGCUUUGAAG